UCUCUGGUAGCUCAGCUGGUAAAGAAUCUGCCUGAAACGCAGAAGACCUGGGUUCGAUCCCUGGGUUGGGAG
rnacentral:tRNA from 1 species